rnacentral:rRNA from 1 species
CCUACGGGAGGCAGCAGUGGGGAAUCUUGCGCAAUGGGCGAAAGCCUGACGCAGCAACGCCGCGUGCGGGAUGAAGGCCUUCGGGUUGUAAACCGCUUUUAACAGGAACGAAAAUGACGGUACCUGUAGAAUAAGGUGCGGCCAACUACGUGCCAGCAGCCGCGGUGACACGUAGGCACCAAGCGUUGUCCGGAUUUAUUGGGCGUAAAGAGCUCGUAGGCGGUUCGAUAAGUCGGGUGUGAAAACUCUGGGCUUAACCCAGAGACGCCACUCGAUACUAUUGUGACUAGAGUUCGGUAGGGGAGCGGGGAAUUCCUAGUGUAGCGGUGAAAUGCGCAGAUAUUAGGAGGAACACCGGUGGCGAAGGCGCCGCUCUGGGCCGAAACUGACGCUGAGGAGCGAAAGCGUGGGUAGCAAACAGGAUUAGAUACCCUGGUAGUCCACGCCGUAAACGGUGGGCACUAGGUGUGGGCUCCAACCAACGGAGUCCGCGCCGUCGCUAACGCAUUAAGUGCCCCGCCUGGGGNGGUACGGCCGCGACGUAAACGUUAAAGUAAGUAGUAGGCGUGAGACGNGCCGACGGAACGACGACGAGGGAGGUAGG